UACGUAUGGAGCAAGCGUUAUCCGGAUUUACUGGGUGUAAAGGGAGCGCAGGCGGCCUGGCAAGUCUGAUGUGAAAGGCCGGGGCUCAACUCCGGGACUGCAUUGGAAACUGUCAGACUGGAGUGUCGGAGAGGUAAGCGGAAUUCCUAGUGUAGCGGUGAAAUGCGUAGAUAUUAGGAGGAACACCAGUGGCGAAGGCGGCUUACUGGACGAUGACUGACGCUGAGGCUCGAAAGCGUGGGGAGCAAACAGG
rnacentral:rRNA from 1 species